rnacentral:rRNA from 1 species
UACGUAGGGUGCGAGCGUUGUCCGGAAUUACUGGGCGUAAAGGGUGCGCAGGUGGCGGCGCGCGUGGGGGGUGAAAUCGCCCGGCUUAACUGGGCGGGGGCCUUCCAGACGGCGUGGCUUGAGCAGGGGAGGGGGACGUGGAAUUCCGGGUGGAGCGGUGAAAUGCGUAGAGAUCCGGAGGAACACCGGUGGCGAAGGCGGGUCUCUGGGCAGUAACUGACGCUGAGGAGCGAAAGCGUGGGGAGCGAACAGG